rnacentral:lncRNA from 1 species
UAUAUUUGACGAACCGCGCAACCUACCUCUUACCCGUCGGCAUGAUCAUUGUAUAAUGAUCCUUCUAGGAAAAUCUUCAGCAAAUGCUCAGCCAUAUCAGUAUCCACAUCUCCAGAAGGAUGAAAUAGAAAGGAUUAUAAAAGAGAUGCUCGAAACAGGAGUUAUUCAGCCAAGUUGCAACCUCUACUUUUCACCGGUGCUACUUGUACGCAAGAAGGACGGAACAGGGCGAAUAUUUAUUGAUUACCGAUCUCUCAAUGGCAUAAACAUCACGGACAAAUACCUUAUUCCAAUAGUAGAUGAAUUGCUAGAUGAAAGGUAGCACAAAUCUUCACAAAGCUAGACCUUUGAUCCGGGUAUCACCAAAUACAAGCGUACGAAGAAGACAUACCGAAAAUCACCUUUUGAACACACAACAACCACUACGAAUUUUUUAUUUCUUCAAUAGAAGGUGGAAUAUAUUGGGCAUAACAUAUCAGAGGAAGGUGUGGCAGUGGACCCCUUCAAAAUUGGAGCAAUGCAAAACUGGCCGACCCCGAGAAACAUAAAAUUGCUACAUGGCUUUCUAGGUUUAACAGGCUACUACCGCAAGUUCAUGAAAAACUAUGGAAAGAUCAAUGCACCACUUACUUCCUUACUGGAAAAAGAUGUCUUCCAAUGGUUGGAGAGAGCCUCCACUUCCUUCGACAAACUUAAGGCAGCCAUGACGACGAUGCCGGUGCUAACACUAAUAUAUUUCAACCGACCCUUCAUUAUUGAGGCCGACAUAUCUGGAGUCGGAAUUGGAGCUACUCUCAUGCAAGAUGGUCGACCACUUAUAUACACUAGCAAGACAUUAUCUCCCUCCCAUCAAAAUAAGUCAAUAUAUGAUAAGGAGAUGCUCGCCAUUAUGCGCGCAGCAACAAGGUGGAGACCCUACUUGAUUGGUCGACGAUUUCAAAUUAAAACUGACCAUAAAAGCCUCAAGUACUUUUUGGAGCGAAAGAUAUCAUCCCCUGAGCAGCAAAAAUGGGUAACAAAACUUUUUGGAUUUGAUUAUGAAAUAACUUACAAAAAGGGGAAAGAGAAUAUUCUUGCAGAUGCGCUUUCGCAGUUACCCGAGCAAGUUGAAGUUUCAGCCGUUUCACUUUCGACCAGCGACUUCCUUGAGGAUAUUAAGAUGGAAUGGCAGGAAGAUUCAGAGACUAGUAAGAUUAUAAACAAUUUGGAGGAAGCACCAAUCUCCGUGGCUCAUUACAAUUGGGACUCAAAAAAAUUACAUUAUAAGGGACGCAUUGUGCUUAUGAUAAAUUCUACUUGUAUCUUCACAAGCAGAUUUUGGAUAAAGUUAUUCUAUAUGCAAGGUAUUAAAUUGAAAAGGAGUAUGACAUAUCACCCAUAAAUCGAUGGCGAGAUAAAAGUUGUAAAUAGGUGCUUGGAGACAGCCCAAAGCCACCCGCCAAAUAUGACUAUCCAAGGAGAACUCCAGACCCAGCCAAGUACCAUUAUUGAUCGACGGAUCGUGACUCAACGACGAUGACCCACUACUAAAAUGCUAAUACAGUGGGUGAACCUACCAAUAGAAGAUGUCACUUGGGAGAACUGUGACGACGUGAAGAUCAAAUUCCCAAAAUUAAUGAAUCGUCAGCCUCGAGGACAAGGCAGAUUUGAAGAGGGCAGGUCUGUUAGGACUCUAGCUAGUAGAGUCCUAAUUGAGAGGGACAUUAAUGUAAAAUUUAUCUAAGCCGACCCCUAUUAAAGAGGUGAAGAGGUCGGCUAGGGUUAGGAGGUUGUUUCUUAGAGAAGAAUAAGGAGUUGUAAAGGAAUAAGAGUCUUGAGUAUGAGUCCUAUUAGGGGUUGGUUAGAAGUAGGAUUCUUGAGUAUGAGUCAUAUUAGGAGUUCGGGUUUAGAUGCCCUAUAAAUAGUUAUGUAUUCCUGCUCUUUUCAUAAGAAAUAGAUGAAUCUUUUCUGCAGCCUUUGAGCAGGAACUUGGAGGGAGGAACACCUAUAGAGUUCCAAGGAGGCCGAUCCCCUAAAGAGAUCAACCCCAAGUUUAGAAUCUACAAGGGUUCUAACACUAUUGCUGUAGGACCAAGAGAUAAUUGCAUAUUUCUUCCUUCUCCCUCUUAACAAUCAUGAGGCCAUGCUCAGAAUUAAAUGGUUGAUGACAUUAGAUGAUGUUUUCUGGAAUUUUAUGAAACAAUUUAUGAAAUUUUACAGUAAGGAGAAACAUGUGACAUUGCACGGGAAAUGUGGAGGCGACAUAACAACGAUUUGCACACAACAAAUGGAGAAGGUUUUGCAUAAAGCAUGCAGCGGAUUUUUGGUACAACUUGAGCAGCAAACUAAGGGAGAGCCAACAGAAUUUGAAGAUCCAAAUCUACUUCCUUUGCUUGCUGAAUUUUCAGAUAUAUUUGACGAACCAUACAACCUACCUCUUACCCGUCGGCAUGAUCAUUGUAUAACGAUUCUUCCAAGCAAAUCUUCAGCAAAUGCUCAGCCAUAUCAGUAUCCACAUUUCUAGAAGGAUGAAAUAGAAAGGAUUGUAAAAGAGAUGCUUAAAAUAGGAGUUAUUCGGCCAAGUUGCAACCUCUACUCUUCACCGGAGCUACUUGU